UUUUGGUGGUGUGGUGAUUGAGUUUUCAUUUUUGAUUUUUUUUUCAACUCCUUCAUUAGUUGAUGUGUUGAUGAUUUUUAUAGCUAUUUGUUUUGUUUCUGAAGGAAAACUUAGUGAUAAUAAGUUGAUGAAUUGAAUUUUACAGACAUGAAGCUUGAAGUAUUUGAUUCUAAUUUCAACGUAGAAUGCUCAACCUCAACAGUCAACACUCAGCGAUUUCAACGUAGAUCGAAAGCUCCAAUUCCAGGAUCCCAUAUCGAGAUUCAAUCUUAUUUUCAACCAGCAGAGGUAUCAAGGUGAACGUCUGUACUGUGACUGCUGCUUCAAGAACAAGGUAAUACAGAGAAGACAAUACAAUGUAGUUACUUGAAGUUUAUUACGAGUAUUAUGAAGUAGGUAUCAGUAAGAUGGAAAGGAUAUCGCUGACGUGUUUUUUCCUGUUCUCGACUGUAAUACGUAGAAUAAGAUAACCUAUGAUGGGAGUUUAAUUUAAACUUGAGAAUGGAAAUGGAACAAUCAAUCGCUGUUCGUUUAUCGAAUGUUGAUUCAGAAUGAAUCGUUCGAAUCUGACAAUGAGAACUGAAAAUCGAAUCCGAUGCAUUCUACGUCCAGAGUAAACAAACCUCCAUCUUAAAUCACUCAAAACCGAACCCGAAUUACGGCGAAAGAAUCACCCACCAAGCGAAUUUAUCAACUUACCACCAUCUCGUGUACGUUGGCGAAUUAAUUUAUUAAUUCCGGCUUGCAGAUCGGACUCUGCUGGUGAUUCGAAAACGGAUUCUAAAUCCGCGCUUAAUACUACUCCUGCAACAUGUUAGACCGGAACUCAACUAUCACAAGUGUUUAACCAAGGUGUUUGUAUAACGGUCAUCUUGAAGGGACUAGACACUCGUACACGUGCGCUGUCAACCGUAUCAAAUCAUAGGUUUAAGUCUAUGCGGUAAUUAAUUCAUGAAGGAUGUGUUCUUAUUUGUGGCAGUUGAUUAGAAACAAGAUGACUUAUUAACCUCGUCGAGAUAUCGUGUUACAGCAGCGACAUAUCUACCUACGCAGCGUCGAUAAUGGUUAGUUUACGUCGAUACAAUGGAUUCUGUUUCACAGAAAGAAGGGGGAGAGUGAUGGAAAUCGAACGAACGUCGAGUUGUGAAGUUUAUACAAAAAUUCAUCAUCGUUCUAAUUCCCAAUUUAUUCUUCGAAAUUGAAAAAAAUCGAUUAUUUCGAUACAGCUACCUUUGUUUUAUAAAUCUUCGAAACUAAGCCAUCCCUUUUUCAACCCCCAAAGCACAGAUUCGCAAUAAAACCCUCAGCUCGGCUGCAGCUUCGUCGGUAACUGCAGGAAAAAAACCGUUUGAAUUUCUUUAUCGUUGAUUUCAGCCGAAAAAAAAUUUAUGUUUAAUUUGAUGGUCGAUAUAAAAAAUCUGGAGUAAAACAUUAUAAA